AUGCUUCAAUAUUACUCUUUUAAAGCGGAAAGUAUAGCGAAACAACAAAAAUGCCGAGAACUUUACAAUACGUGUGACGUCACAGAUUGCAACUAGGUUGUUUUUGCUUACGUCAGCUAGAGUCCUAUCCAUUUAUUUUAUUAUCCCUGGUUUCAUUUAGCCUCCUUGCGAAACACUUAGAUUAGCAACAGUGACAUCCAGUCAAGAUUCAGUGAUCGAAGUUCCAUUGUCUUUUCAUUGUUUCUAAAAUCCCAUUGUUCUUCAUGCAAUCGCGGUGGAUAUUCAAUGACGGGAAUAUUUCAUUGUCUUUUCAUUGUUUUUACAAUAAAAUAAUACUAUUAUUUUGUGUGUGUUGAUGUUAUGUACUCAGGUGAAUAUGAUGUUUGUGAUGUUACUCUGAGUGUGCAUCCACACCGG